AGUCCCAGGUGCUGCACCACUGAGGGUAACACCUCCUCCUCCCACUUUGUAGUCCCAGGUGCUGCACCACUGAGGGUAACACCUCCUCCUCCCUUUUUGGAUGUGCCCUCAGCCCAGUGGCUGCUGACUGUCCACGGCUAUGACGUUCUGUUCCAGUUAGAGGACUUCAAGGCCAGAGUCACCUCCAUCUUUGGGUUCAUCCUGAAGAUGGAUUCAACCAAGAAGGUGACCAAGAAACAACCUGGGGUAGCACAAGGGACAGCAGCGUGGGCCACAAACGUGGGCAAUGAGUACGGCCAGGUGCUCAUUACGGUCCUCACUGAUGGCGAAGGAGAGGGCCUGCACGACAUGGCAGCUGGCCUCCAGCAGCGCUACAGUAGAGCUGGAGUGGCACCUCCCAAGCUGCUCUGUCGACCGGGACUGCUGCAACCUGGUGGGAAAGGGGAAGACGGCAGCCAUGUUCAGCCAGUGGGAUGAGCUCAUCGUCCGGCUGGAUGUGUGGCACCUCAUCCGUCGUUUUGCUCAGGGAGUGACCACAGAGUAAAACACAGACAACAAAAAAAAGAGAUUUGUACAUAAACAGAACCGCAUAUGUUUUAGAGUUUGUAUAAUUUAUAAAUAUAUACCAGAGUACUUUGCAGGCCUUGUGUGAUCCUUCACAAGACUGCAGCCCAUGAGCUUCUGGCUCAGCUCAUUGAUGGCGUUCUGGGCUACACCAUCAUAGCAGUGCAGGGGCUGCUUCGGCACGGUCCUCAUUCCACCCAACCAACCCUUCAAGGAGGUAGGCCUGAAAGAGCUCGACACGAGCACUUGUUCCUAUAAACGACAACAACAAACAAGAUCUCCUCACAUGCACAGUUGUUGACACUCACAACAACGCAACCCGGUUUUACAUUUAACAUACCAGGAAUGAAGCGGUGGAGGUGGAAAGACUCCAGGGAGGUGGACCCACGUGAGCAGCGCAACACAGGCAGGAUGACCCCUCCCAUGGUCACGUCCUUGCCCUUGUUGGUGUAGAUGCUGACACCAGGGGGGUCCUGAAUGCAGACCAGGUGUCGUCUCUGGGUCUGCCAGAUGGACUGCAUCCUGUCACAGUCCAGGAGCCGGUUGCCCAGGGUGUCUGUGGCAUCCAUGAAAGUCUCCAGGAACUCCCCGAUGAGACGCUCGGUCUCCUCCGCCCCGUGCGGGCGGCGACGACAGUGCCGAGUCAUCUCUUUGGGGCUGAUCCUCUUCAUCACCUGUGCGUCGCUGAGCCCCGCGAUGUGGCUCUCCUUCAGCUCCCCUCGCUUGGCCUCCCGCAGGCGCUCCACAUCAUCUGCAUACCACACCAAUAUGCAGGAGGUGAGCCGCCGCAUAAAGAGAGCAUACAGAGGAUGGGGAACUCAUUGGGGUCGAGUAUCUCUUCUCCCAGACCGAUGGUGACCAGAAGCUGGAGUCCAGCCUCGGUAAGGACCCGUAUGUCCCAGACGGGACACCUGAUCUAUUUGAGAGGAGGACGACGACCUGGGAGAGCUUGAUGAGGAGGAUGACCUGGGAGAGCUUGAUGAGGAGGAUGACCUGGGAGAGCUUGAUGAGGAGGAUGACCUGGGAGAGCUUGAUGAGGAGGACGACCCCACCAUUUCCUUGCACGCCCUCGAUGAGUGUCUCCCACCACUCCCUUCACUCAGGAAGGCCACUCCACCGCCCACUGAGCCCACCCCAGGUACCUGUCAUCACACCCCCCUGAUGACACUACGGAGGAGGUGGACACUGCACCCGCUGCCAGUCAGGACACGGAUGACGAGUACAUAGGACCUGAUGGGGUUAGUGGAUACCAGCACGUCCUCCUGGCCAGGAGUCUGCUGAGGCUGCUGGAGGGGCCAUGGGUCUCCAAUGGGCACAUAGAUGACAUCAUGGCUCUCUGGGGAAACCUUCCAGAGAAGAGACAAGGCAGCAGUUUCCUACCCCGAAAGCUCCCUACUUGGCCAAGGCUCUGGACCUGCUCAGUGGCCCAACACCAGCAGGACAGUGGAGGCCAUUUUUGUUGAGCUGUGCCACAAACACCCUGCAGGCAAGAUGGUGCUUGGGAACCGGGUCAACAGGUGGGCUGCUAUCCUGGGGGAUUACAAGAGAAUCAGGAUCAUGGUGCUGGGCAGACCAAACCUGAUUACCCACACAAGACUGCAACUGUUCCAAGUCAACAAGUUGACCUUGACACAGUGGUAC